rnacentral:lncRNA from 1 species
AAAAAUAAAAGCCACAAAACUCUCUAAGUAAAACGACGUUGCUCUGUCGAAAGUAUCGUUCGUCUCUUUCGAAAUAAUAAAACCCUUAAUCCCCAAAUCUCAUUAUGCAUUUCUUAAUCGGCUGCAUCCACGUCCUUCGAGUGUCGUAGCGAGUUUUUUUCUUUAACCUUUUACUUUCUAAGUUUUUAUAUUAUAUGCAACACUGAAUUUUGCUUGAUUUCAGAUUUUCUUAGGUCUUUUUGAUUUGAUUGUCUUUUGAAUCUGAUUUGGUACUACCAUUUUAAAAUAAUCUUUAAGCUUUUUCUUUCUUAUAAUCUUUUUGCGGUCUGAAUUCUGUAGAUCUAAUGUAUUUAAAUCUAUUUUAACAGACGAGUUUUGUGAUACAAUUCUUGUGUCAUCUUGAAUUAUCUCCUUGGUUAAAGUUGAAAGUUUGGGACAAAUUAUUUCCUCCGCUGCUAAAGGUGUAAGUUUUUCUACUUCUGAAUGAACACAGAAUUUAUAAAUGAAGAUUAGCUUCUUUUUUUUCCUUGUGAGGCAUAAGAGCACCAACUCAAAAUGGUAUCAAAUUAUGGAAUAAUGAGUUCAUAUUGAAAUAGAAUUUAUAAAUGAAGAUUAGCUUCAAAUUAUUUCCUCCGCUGCUAAAGGUGUAAGUUUUUCUACUUCUGAAUGAACACAGAAUUUAUAAAUGAAGAUUAGCUUCUUUUUUUUCCUUGUGAGGCAUAAGAGCACCAACUCAAAAUGGUAUCAAAUUAUGGAAUAAUGAGUUCAUAUUGAAAUAGUUUGGGGUUAUAUUAUUUUGUGAAAUUCGAGAAUUUGUGAUUUUUUCUUCAGUAUGGUAUAUUUAUACUCCUGAAUUCAUGUGAUGUUUAUCUAUCAAGAAUGUUCAGCGAUUUGAUUUUCAGCUUUCAACAUCGCCCAAUUUGGGAGAAUAGCCAUUAACUUGAGGCACAUACAAGUUAAUAAGAAUUUAAUUGGUGAUUUGAACAUGUGAUUGCAUAAAGCUAAAUCAUUAUUUAAGCAAAUAAUGCAUUUCACUAUUGUGCAUUCCUGGUUCUGCUUUUUAGUUGUGCAUUAUGCAAAGCAUGUGAUUGAUGAAAGUUGUCAAGAUAAAUUACAUGGUUAGGUCAUGUUUAUUGUGAAGCAUAAGCAACAAUAAAGAUAAAGAAUAAGGAAAGAAGAACUCCCACAUUAUUUUUUUGUAAAGAUCCCUUCAAUUUAUUCUUUUUAAAUUAUUUUGGUACAUGUACCUGAUGAAAAAAUAGAAAAGAAUAAAAGUGAUUUAGAUGGAAAUAAUCAAUCUGUCACAUAGCUGUUGUCCAUGUCUCGGUAUUAUCUUAAAGAUAUGUACUUCGUGAUUUUUCAAUACUUAUUGUAUGUAUGAAUAAUCAAUCCGUCACAUAGCUAUUUUUUUCAUUGUCAAAAAAGAAGAUGUCUUUUUUGAAUUUUAUGACAGGGUAAAUUGAACAGUUAUUGUAUGUAAUAAGAUGAUAUCUUUAAGAAUAUUAUUAGUUUCAGUUUGACCAAUAGUAGAAAAUGAAAGUGAAAUAAUCACAUUUAGAUUGAUCAAUUACAGGAAUGAAGAUGUCUAAAUAGAUUUGCAUAUUAGUUAUAGGCUUUCAUAAAUUUCAAAGUUUCGGCUCUCUUGAAUUUGUAUAAAGAGUAGCCCUACUAUCACUUAAUUUCUUUUUUUCAUGAAGGUCUUAAUUUAGCCACUCCUUUUGUUGUUUCUAUAAUAUUGGUAAAAUCAGUUAUGUCUGUGUCACUCUCAACAUUUGUAAAUCUGUUAGAAUAGUUUAUGUUAGAUCUUUUUAGUUAGAGCAUGAAGAGAAUAAUAAGUUGAUAAAAUACAUUUUAUGCAUUGUUGAUAUUAGAUUGAAUGCUUCAUGAUUUAUUGACACUUAUUUUGUUGGUAAAACUUAAUCCUCCACAUUGAAUAGAUGUGAUAGUCUAGUUUGGGGAGAUGACCAAAAAAUCAAAUAAAAAAUAAUAAGUUUGACGAAUCAAUAAUGUUUUAUUCAGACAUAAAUUUUUGAAACUAGGUUGUUCUUUUUAUUCUCAAAACAGACAUUGUUUCUUUCUGCCCAAAUGGUGUAAGGAAUGCAUAGGGAAAUGAUCCUCUAAAGUUGUUUCUGGGAUUUUAAUAUCUUUUGCCCUAGCUAGAAGUUAUAUGGGAAUGUUUAAAGUAUGAGAUGGUACUCCAAUAUCUAAAAAUAGUGAUUUAUGGAGUAUUUAAUUAGUGAAACAUUUCAGAAUUAGGAACAUAUGUUGUUCGAUGAUCCUUAAAAGAUGUAAUGGAUAUUUGCUUUCUUAAUAAUUUAAGCGAUGUAGGAGAGUAAAGUUGUAUGUGCCAAGUUGCAGAGAGUACUACUAAUGACUAAGUGUUGAGGUUUCAUUUCCAUCUGUGUAAUGUUUGCCUAUAGGUUUUAUGUUUUACAAAAUACACUUCAAGUAUUUGUUUUACAUUUGUUUGAAUAUUGGUUUUUUGAGUGAGUGGCUAAAUCUUUAUUGUGUUAAUAGUAAAAUUAUUUAACUAAUCUUUUGUCGAUCUUCGUAGUUUUUCUUAAGUGAAUUUACUUUACCUUUUUUUUUUUACAGAAUUUGAAGAUUUACAAGUCAAGAUGAGGUUUCGACGGCCACAUAUGAGCUAACAAGAUGAUAACCAUUUUGUUAGGAUUGUUAAGAUUUUUUUAUAUUGUUUGGCAUGGAUGUCAACUAUUUUGUUAAAGAAUUAUGUAAACACUACAGGCAUUUGUAUAUAUUUCCAUACUCUCUUAGUAAUGGAAUGUUAAUCUAUUUUUUAGUGAAUUACAAAAUAUAUACGAACGAA